UUGACAGUCUGUACCGGAUGUGGCUCUCUUCGUAAUCUCUGACUGGAUUGAGGCGCAUGGAAUCUUCCAGAAGGAGCCAGUGGGUGUUUAUAUAAAGGGAGCUGCGUCACAUUCUUCCCUCUGUGUACUGCGGACUGACCCGAAACUAGACGGACGUCAAGGAAAAGCAGGUUGUUGGAGCGGGUUCGCCUCGGGACCGUGAGUGAAGUCUCCGUUUCCUAAUUGUCGUCGCUGAAGCAAAGAGACGUUUCCAUAAAAAACAGAAGUAUAAUGACAUCAGACGGACUGGGCGCGUGAUCGGAAUAAUUUUUGGUCUCGUGCUCCAAAAUAAAGGUGGUUUAGUGUGGUGUUUAAAAGACUUAUAAAUUUACCUCGGUGGAUGAAACUGUGCGUACAAAAUGCAUGGUGAGAAUGGUAGAAAAUAUGGGUGGGGUGGGAUGCAUGUGUAUGGUUUCUAACUCAAAAAUAGAAAAAUGCAAUCGUUAAAAACUAACAUUUGAAAUCUUAUUCUCUAUAAAACUGUAAAUGUACUUUAAAGAGAUGAAAAUAUGAUCAUAAAGAUGUUUUCUUUAAUGCAAAAGUUCCGAUAUAUUGUAAACGUCGAAAAACAAGUCCUGAAGUGUCCUAAAACUAGUAAACAACAUAAUGGGGCGUGGUCAGACCUCUCCCCUUAAGGGCGGGGCUACUGGAAUGUUCUAGUUGCGUCUCUUUGUUCACGGCCGCCCUCUAGUGGUAUAUUAUACAUAUAACAACGUCAUCUAACUGUAUUUGUUCUAGGCUGUCGAAUUAAAUGCUAAUACUAAAAUUUGUUUUAUGACCGAAGUCUUCAGAAUGGACCAGCCUCUGUUAUUUAACUUGUGUUUGGAGAUGUAAGCAUAGAAUGGGAAUUGCUGUUCUACAAAAUGUUAUGUAACUACUGGCGUGUUGGUUGUAAAUGGGGUAAUGAAGAUCAGUAUUAAGGAAAAAAAAACAUUUGACCUUUUGUUUAGUCUUACAAUUAAAAUAUAUUGUAAUUGUGUCAUUUGUACAAUUUUACCCAAAACAGGGAUAUUUAUCCACACAUUGGGUUAAAGUUCGUUUUAUAUCUGAAAUAAAAUAUUUGGUUUGAAA